UGUGGCUGUGGCUCAGUUGGUAGAGGGCUUGCCUCACAUGCGUGAGGCCCUGGGUUCAAUCCCCGGCACCAUAA
rnacentral:tRNA from 1 species